GACGAACGCUGGCGGCGUGCCUAAUACAUGCAAGUCGAACGGUUUAGUUCCAAGAGGCUUGCCUUUUGGAACUAGACAGUGGCGGACGGGUGAGUAACACGUAGGCAACCUACCUGUCAAACCGGGAUAACCUCGGGAAACCGAAGCUAAACCCGGAUAAGCUCCUUUUUCGCAUGAAGGGGGAGUGAAAAGGUGCGACCUGAUGACAGAUGGGCCUGCGGCGCAUUAGCUAGUAGGUAGGGUAACGGCCUACCUAGGCGAUGAUGCGUAGCCGACCUGAGAGGGCGUACGGCCACACUGGGACUGAGAUACAGCCCAGACUCCUACGGGAGGCAGCAGUAGGGAAUCUUCGGCAAUGGGCGAAAGCCUGACCGAGCAACGCCGCGUGAGUGAGGAAGGCCUUCGGGUUGUAAAACUCUGUUGUUUGGGAAGAAGGGAAAGGGUAGGACCCUUAGGUGAUGGUACCAAACGAGAAAGCCCCGGCUAACUACGUG
rnacentral:rRNA from 1 species